CCUACGGGUGGCAGCAAUUAGGAAUCUUGCGCAAUGGGCGAAAGCCUGACGCAGCGACGCCGCGUGACUGAUGAAGUCUCUCGGGAUGUAAAGGUCUUUUCUGGAGGAAGAAAAAAAUGACGGUACUCCAGGAAUAAGCCCCGGCUAACUACGUGCCAGCAGCCGCGGUAAUACGUAGGGGGCGAGCGUUGUCCGAAUUUACUGGGCGUAAAGCGCGCGUAGGCGGACUAUUAAGUUUGUUGUGAAAUCCCGAGGCUCAACCUCGGAACUGCCUCCAAAACUGUUAGUCUUGAGGUAUGGAGAGGAAAGUGGAAUUCCUGGUGUAGCGGUGAAAUGCGUAGAUAUCAGGAGGAACACCCAUGGCGAAGGCAGCUUUCUGGCCAUAUUCUGACGCUGAGGUGCGAAAGCUAGGGUAGCGAACG
rnacentral:rRNA from 1 species